rnacentral:rRNA from 1 species
AAUGAACGUUGGCGGCGUGGAUUAGGCAUGCAAGUCGAGCGAGAAGCUUAAGAAAGAUACUUCGGUUGAUUUCUUAAGUGGACAGCGGCGAAAGGGAGAGUAACGAGUAGAUACGUACCCAGGGGUUCGGGAUAGCUGCGGGAAACUGCAGGUAAUACCGAAUAAUGUCUCCGGACCAAAAAUUUAUUGCCCUUGGAUCGGUCUGCUUACUAUUAGCUUGUUGGUGGGGUAAUGGCCUACCAAGGCAAAGAUGGUUAGCGGGUGUGAGAGCAUGGCCCGUCUCACUGGGACUGAGACACUGCCCAGACACCUACGGGUGGCUGCAGUCGAGAAUCUUCCGCAAUGGACGAAAGUCUGACGGAGCGACGCCGCGUGCGGGAUGAAGGCCUUCGGGUUGUAAACCGCUGUCAGAGGGGAGCAAAUUUUGAGCAAUCCUCAGAGGAAGCACAGGCUAAGUUCGUG